rnacentral:rRNA from 1 species
AUUGAACGCUGGCGGCAGGCCUAACACAUGCAAGUCGAACGAGUGGCGGACGGGUGAGUUAUGCUUGGGAAUCUAGCUUAUGGAGGGGGAUAACUACGGGAAACUGUUGCUAAUACCGCGUACCAUAGGAUGAGCCCAAGUGGGGUUAGGUAGUUGGUGAGGUAAAGGCUCACCAAGCCGCCGAUCUCUAGCUGGUUUGAGAGGAUGACCAGCCACACUGGGGCUGGGACACGGCCCAGAAUCCUGCGGGAGGCAGCAGGGGGGAAUAUUGCACAAUGGGAGCGAGCCUGAUGCAGCCAUGCCGCAUGUAGGAAGAAGGCCUUCGGGUUGUAAAGUACUUUCAGUCGGGAGGCGUUACCAACAGAAGAAGCACCGGCUAACUCCGUGCCAGCAGCCGCGGUAAUAC